UUUUUGGUGUUGUAAGAAAGUGGUCUUUCCUAUGCUGGAGAUGUUCAUGAUAUGUAGAAACUGUUGUAUCUUCUUAAAACUGUUUCCACUUAAAACAGUUGCUGUAGAAAGAAGAAUGUUUCCAGCAGGGUCUUGGACUCAGGUGGCAGUGUGAGGCCAAAGUUCAUUGUCUAGCCAAGGAACCUGGCUGAUCCAUGGGCAAAGUGGAAGGCCUAGCUGACUUUUCAGUUUGAAAUGUCAUAAAAUGUUGAUCGACACUUUCUUCCAAAAGAAAGAAUAGCCUGCAAUGUCAAUCUGCUGCUUCUGAGGCCAAUAAGAUAUUGUCAUGGAUUAAACAAUGCAUUGACCCACAAGACAAGGACAUGAUAUUUCCACUUUGCAAAGCGAAAAGAGACAGAACACACCAAACUCUUAAAUAACUGCACCUGGAAUUUGUUGCAACUAUUGGAAUGAAACAAUAAGCCAUGUUGACAGACCAUAAAAUAAGCAGUUUUUUUUCAGCUGUAAAUAGUUGAAAAAAUAGCUGAUUUAUUAUGGUGUGUGAACAUGGCAUAAUGUAUACAUAACAAAUACAGUGCU